rnacentral:tRNA from 2 species
GGGCCCGUGGUCCAGCGGUUAUGACGUCUGCUUGACGUGCAGAAGACCAAGGGUUCGAAUCCCUUCGGGCCCA